AGGUCUUUAUGCUCUGGUUAUGCAUCUGAGUAUCCUGGAAGCAUUAAAUCAGAAAUGUCUUCUGAUGUAAAAGGAGCAGGACCAGGUUUGAAGCUAUCUGUAGGUCGAUCUACAUCAUCUUUGUCGUCUGAUCACUCACAAAAUACAGGGAAAAUACUGUGUGACAUCUAGUCAGAGCUCAAGGCAGUGAAGACCUGUGUGACCUGUAGGAU